CUCUGUUGUUCCUAGAUUUCAUUCUUCAAUUUUGGAGAACACGAACUCGCGUUUCAGAUACCUAGCAGGUUUGGGAGUUAAAUCUCUUCCCCCUGUAUCACUCUUGCCACAGCCUCCACCUGCUGCAAGAUUAGAGGCAUGAGUGACCACACCUGGUUUAAAUACUUUUGAAAGUGUUUUUGAUGGUGAUGGCCUUUGAAGAGUCUGUCAAAAAAAAAUUCAACCUAAGAAUGCUUUUCUUUUUUUUCUCCCUUUAAAUUUUUUUGUUUGUGUUGCAGUGCUAGUCACGGAACCAGGGCUUUCACACGGAGCUACAUCCCUAGGCCUUUUUAGGGUCUUGCUAAACCACUAACUUCCCCAGGCUGGGCUGGAGCUUGAGAUUCUUCUGACUCACCCUCCCACAGUGGCAGGAUUACAGCUAUGUGCUACCUGUGACAAAGCCAUCUUUAAGGCCACUUCAUUCUUUCGACCUGGCUAAUUAACUGGACACAAAGGCUGGGCGGUGCCUCAGGGCCCACUGAGGACACCGAUCCCUGGCCAAGCUGAAUUUCUAACCUAGCCGGAUUUCUAUUCCCAGCAUCCUCAGAGGCUCUUCCUUCUGGCUGCUCUUCCUCCAGGGCGGAGCUGCAGCUUCUCCGGGGCCAAGGCUGCAGGACCUUUUGGGGUGUGGACUUCCAGUGUGGGGUGAAGUGAGGUGAGAGUCUGCAACCCCAGUGACAACAGGAGGCCCCGCUGCUGCUCCUGGCCUCACUUGAGCACUGGGCUUCCUGCUCCUGACGAGAGAUGGAGUCAGCUGAGCUAAUACAGAAGAAAUAAGGAUGGUGGACAGCAGACAAGGAAAUUGCACCACAAUUGUUAGAACAAGCUGCAGAUGCCUGCUGACCAUCAAUAUGUGACCAUCGGCCACUAACCUUUGUCCCCUUUUCUUUGAUAUGUUAACUUCCCCCUCAACCCCCUAUAAAAACAGCCUCGGAUUCUGAGCCAGUUGCCUCUCUAAGCUAUUUUGCUUCGGGAGUGCCGUCUGGCCAGACUAAUAAAGGUCUGUUUCCCAACUUGUCACGGUGUGUUCCUUCCCGGGUGUUUUUCGCUGUAGUCAGCUCCUCGGAGCGUUUGUUAAGGCCCUCGGUCUUACAUUCUGAAGGCACCGCUGGGAUUCCUGGGUGUGCUUCACUAGUCAGCUCCUCGGAGCGUUUGGUAAGGCCCUCGGUCUUACACUAGUUAGUUAAAUCAGCCUACUCAAGUCAAAGAAUUUAUGACUAGAAUAAAUUACUCAUGGCUGAGUCUGAGCUUUUGAAAACAGUUUGAAAUUGUGAGAUUAUCGAGGUACUUCUCUUAGCAGGAGUAGACCGGGAAAUAGUAUAUAAAAUUAUUUGAUUUAUAUUCUGAAC
rnacentral:lncRNA from 1 species